GCGGCAGGCUUAACACAUGCAAGUCGAGGGGUAACAUUGUAGCUUGCUACAGAUGACGACCGGCGCACGGGUGCGUAACGCGUAUAGAACCUACCUUUUACUGGAGAAUAGCCUUUAGAAAUGAAGAUUAAUGCUCCAUGGUAUUGAGACUUGGCAUCAAGUUUUAAUUAAAGAUUUAUUGGUAAAAGAUGGCUAUGCGUCCUAUUAGUUAGAUGGUAAGGUAACGGCUUACCAUGACAUCGAUAGGUAGGGGUCCUGAGAGGGAGAUCCCCCACACUGGUACUGAGACACGGACCAGACUCCUACGGGAGGCAGCAGUGAGGAAUAUUGGGCAAUGGAGGCAACUCUGACCCAGCCAUGCCGCGUGCAGGAAGACGGCCCUAUGGGUUGUAAACUGCUUUUAUACAGGAAGAAACACUGGUAUGUAUACCAGCUUGACGGUACUGUAAGAAUAAGGACCGGCUAACUCCGUGCCAGCAGCCGCGGUAAUACGGAGGGUCCGAGCGUUAUCCGGAAUCAUUGGGUUUAAAGGGUCCGCAGGCGGUCAAUUAAGUCAGAGGUGAAAUCCCAUAGCUCAACUAUGGAACUGCCUUUGAUACUGGUUGACUUGAGUCAUAUGGAAGUAGAUAGAAUGUGUAGUGUAGCGGUGAAAUGCAUAGAUAUUACACAGAAUACCGAUUGCGAAGGCAGUCUACUACGUAUGUACUGACGCUGAGGGACGAAAGCGUGGGGAGCGAACAGGAUUAGAUACCCUGGUAGUCCACGCCGUAAACGAUGGAUACUAGUUGUUUGGCAUUAGCUAAGUGACUAAGCGAAAGUGAUAA
rnacentral:rRNA from 1 species